CUUUUUCAGUGCAUUUUUUAGCAACAACGGCCAUUUUAGUUUUUGUCAAGUUUUUUGUCUUGAAGUCCACGGCGAUGUGCAAGGCGAUGUGGAUUUAUUUAAAUAGGAAAUAAGCAUGCCAAAAACUGCAAAAAUCGAACUAUAAUACAUAAAUAACAGCUCCGACAAGGGAAAAAACGGUUCACCUUUACACUUGCGGAUUCAACUGAAACGCGAAAAAGGCUUGCAAAGAAACAUGCAGCUCCACCGAAACAUCUUAUUAGUCGCUGAUGCAAGAACAGGAUAUCCACUGAACAUGGACAAAGAUUUCCUUUUAGAGGUAUUGUAUGAACCAGUCAGCGAUACUAUGGCUAAAUAGUGCAUUUAUAAAAACAAAAUCAUAUGGAAAAUACGUCGAUUUUUUAGAUUUGUUCAGAAAAUGUAUAUAAUAAAUGUAUGAGAUAAUAAAUAAAAUGUUAUUGAAACUUGUUUUGUGCAAAAUAAUUGUAUGAACUGAAAAACCAGGAAAAC